AACAGGUAGAAAAACUCCUCCAGUUCCAGAUAGACCCUUGACAUCACACAGGAGUGAAAUGGAGAUAAUUUCCCUUUGUGCGUGCUUCAGCAAGAUACAAGUUAAUAUUAGGAAACUGAGCUUAUAGAGACAAGAUGUUGGCGAACAUAACAUGAAAGCACAUUUUUAAGAUUCAGUGAUAAACAUGUUCCAUAAUGACCUUGACAGUCACUAAAGAUUUCGAUGAUCAACUCAGG